rnacentral:rRNA from 1 species
AGUGAACGCUGGCGGUAGGCCUAACACAUGCAAGUCGAACGGCAGCACAGUAAGAGCUUGCUCUUACGGGUGGCGAGUGGCGGACGGGUGAGGAAUACAUCGGAAUCUACUUUUUCGUGGGGGAUAACGUAGGGAAACUUACGCUAAUACCGCAUACGACCUACGGGUGAAAGCAGGGGAUCUUCGCACCUUGCGCGAUUGAAUGAGCGGAUGUCGGAUUAGGUAGUUGGCGGGGUAACGGCCCACCAAGGCGACGCUCCGUAGCUAGUAUGAGAGGAUGAACAGCCACACUGGAACUGAGACUCGGUACAGACUCCUGCGAGAGGCAGCAGUGGGGAAUAUUGGGCAUUGUGCGCAAGCCUGAGCCAGCCAUCCCGCGUGGGUGAAGGAGGCAUUCGGGUUGUAAUGCCCUUUUGUUGGGAAAGAAAAGCAGCAGGUUAAUACCCCGCUGUUCUGACGGUACCCAAGAAAUAAGCACCGGCUAACUUCGUG